rnacentral:lncRNA from 1 species
GUCAAAUAUAGAUGUCGAAUAUUUAAAAUUUUUAAAAAUUAAAUUUCCAACUUUUUCAAAAUUAUAAUAAAACCAUCAAACGGAUGUAAAAUGAACAGUUAAAAUCGAACGACGUUCUAAAUGAAUGAUCGAAUAUUUUCAUUUAAAAUCAAAAUUAUUGAUCUUUAUCUAAAUAGUGAAUAAAAUUUUAUAUCAAAAAUUCAACCGUUACCGUUAAACCGGUCGAUUAAAAUUGUUAAUUUCGAAAUCUUUUAAUCACAAGGUAAAUAAUAUCAAAAAAUUAUAAAAUUUAAUUUUCAUAAGUUUUAAAUACUCUAGAUAAUAUUUAAAGUAAAUAUAAUAACCGGACUAUAUAUUU